GUGGAAUUAAACCUCUCACAUGCUUCAUAACUACCAAACAAAUUGUUUUGAAACGAUUAUCAAGCACUUUAGUACGGCGCGUCGUAACUUACACAUUUAGCUGUUUAUACAUUUUAGUCAUUAUGGAUUUGAAUACUGUGCGCUUUACGAAAUCAGAAAUAUUUUCUAGCUUUACCUCCUUGUACAAUUAGAUGCAACUAAGACAAAUCUACCAUGCAUUUAAAUAAUAAUUUAGUAAUUACAGUAAUUAACUAUUACUGUAUACUGUGAAUAUCAUUCAUUUUAGGUAAAAAAAUGAGUAGUAACUAGUGUCCUGUAUUUGACCAAGAUUUCACCAAAAUGAAUAGUGUGCUGCUGGAUGAAGAGCCAGGCGGGAGCACGGAGCCGUCGCCACGCCGCGCCGCUCGUCUUCUCAGCCCAACAACCGUGGAUAAAGACUUGGUGUUUUUUUUUUUCUUGUUUCCUGGCAGCAUUGGCAAAAUGUCACGAAACGAAUUAAAUCGAUAUGCUGGUACAGAAGGACUACACGUGGCGCAAAUGAAAUGCAUUCUCUCAGUCCAGCAAAGCGAGUCGGCGCUUCUGCGCAGCUUGCCUUGUAGAGGUGUAGCGGAACGCGACACAGAAACGUGCUCGUUGUAGGUAACGUUUGCUGCUUUUGUUAAUUUACUUCGUGUAUCUUUUUUAACGUGUCGGCCAAGAUGGCGCCGGACAAAAAAUCAGGCGACCUCGUCGUUCCCCUCCACCCGGCUCUCUCGGAACGACGUAAGUUUACCUCAGGUCGGGGGACCGGGGUGACAGGCAAACGCAUGGCGUGUGACACACGUGUGUAACAUCGGCGACGGACAGUUGGGGACAGGCGCCGCGGACGCGCUGAGUCGGAGAGCAUCAAAGCUGCGCCGAGGCGGCGCGCAUCAAACCUGCGCCGAGUCGGCGCGCAUCAAACCUGCGCUACCGAGACGCAAAGUCACCCUGCGCUCAUCUAUAAUUUUUGUAUAGAGUGCCACAUGUAACACACAAAUGUAGACGUUUAAGUAAAUGUAAAUGAUUGUUUAAAAAAAAAGUUGUUUUUUAGCGUCUUCGCAAGUCGGAGCCGAACACCCGCUGCAGUCGGACCCGUGAAAUGGCCCUGGGUUUGAAGGUCUUAUAUCAAAACUGCGGCGUGUGUCGCACCAGCAUGAAGAGCUUUACUAUUCGCACCGGCAACCUGCGUCUUAAAUCUGCAUCUGCCAUAUGGUUAAUUUUUUUUUUGUAAUAAUCUCUUUAUUUCGAACCCCCGCCUGUUCUCUGCUUAUGCAUCACGGCACUCGC
rnacentral:lncRNA from 1 species